GCUUACGACCAUACCACGUUGAAUACACCAGUUCUCGUCCGAUCACUGAAGUUAAGCAACGUCGGGCUCGGUUAGUACUUGGAUGGGUGACCGCCUGGGAAUACCGAGUGUCGUAAGCU
rnacentral:rRNA from 1 species